GGAGAGGAUACAUUUUUCUUUGCUGAAUAAUUCCCCAUAGGCAGUACGUAGCCUCACACCGGAAAUCCAUCCAGCACAUUGGGGACGACGAAAUAAGAGAGCCCAUUCAUUUUAAAUGAAGGGGGAACGAAGUUGGUUGGGAAGCAAAGUGGGCGGGGGACCGUGACCAGUUUAGGACCAAAAUUUGAAAGCCGAACUUUUGUUCAAUACAUACAUCGUGUACUCCGCGACAUCGCCGUGCUAUUGACCAAUCGAAGCUCACGAUAGCUUCCAGCCCCUACUGCAUUUAGCCGGCGACAGGUAGCCCAGAGCUGUUGGACCAGUAACCGAAAGGUUUCUAGAUCAAAUCCCCGAGCUGACGAGAUCAGUGCAGUUGAAGAAAAGGAGUCAAUGAGAGGAGCCAAGGAGAGGAGCCAAGAAGAAAACUCGGUGGUUCGAGCCCUGAAUGCUGAUUGGCUGACAGCUGUGGUAUAUCAGACCAUAUACAACGGGUGGUCCGGGAUCCUUAUGUAGAAGGACCCCCCUCAGACGAUCUCCGCAGGUGAAGAAGCCGGAUGUGGAGGUCCUGGUCUGGCGUGGUUACACGUGUUCUGUUGUGAGGCCGGUUGGAAGUUCUGCCAAAUUCUCUAAAACAAAGUUGGAGGAAGUUUAUGGUAGACAAAUUAACAAUAAAUUCUCUGGCAACAGCUCUGGUGGACAUCUCUGCAGUCAGCUUGCCAAUUGGCGUUCCCUCAAAACUUGAGACAUCUGUGAGAUUGUGUUGUGUGACAAAAACUGCACUUUUUUAAGUGGCCUUUCAUUGUCCCCAUUACAAGGUGCACCUGUGAAUGCUGUUUAAUCAGCUUCUUAAUAUUCCACACGUGUCAGGGGGGGUGGACUAUCUUGGCAAAGGAGAAAUGCCCACUAACAGGGAUGUAAACUAAUUUGUGCACAAAAUGUGAGAAAAUAAUAUUUUUGUGCAUAUGGAACAUUUCUGGGAUUUUUUUUUUUUCUCAUGAAACAUGGGACCGACACUUUACAUGUUGCGUUUAUAUUUUUGUUCACUGUAUUAUUCACUCAAAACAUUUGAAUUUGUUUCUAUUAAAAAGUAUGUCAUUGACCUUUUAAGACGAUGUUGCCACUUUAAGAGCUCUGUUGCGCAGCUGCUCCUAAACCAAGCUUGAAGCUCAGGUUGUAAAACGAAGCCAUACGCGCAACUGAAAGAGUAGAGAAAUAAACGUAUUAACAAUGUAAAACUGGGAGCCCCAUCUUUAACAAAGGCCAAAACUGCUUUCAAAAGUGUUUCCCCGCGACUGCAUUAAGAAUUGUUGUGCAUUAACUGUUAACCUCCAAUGGCUCUUGCAACUUGAAUGCGUCUGAGAGGAAUAUUUAUCUC